rnacentral:tRNA from 1 species
AUCUAUAUAAUAUAAAUUAUUAUAUUUAAUUUCCAAUUAAAAAAUCUAAGUUAGUAUAGAUA